rnacentral:rRNA from 1 species
GACGAACGCUGGCGGCGUGCCUAAUACAUGCAAGUCGAGCGGACUUGAAGGAGUGCUUGCACUCCUGAGAGUUAGCGGCGGACGGGUGAGUAACACGUAGGCAACCUGCCCUCAAGACUGGGAUAACUACCGGAAACGGUAGCUAAUACCGGAUAAUUUAUUACAUAGCAUUAUGUGAUAAUGAAAGACGGAGCAAUCUGUCACUUGGGGAUGGGCCUGCGGCGCAUUAGCUAGUUGGUGGGGUAACGGCCCACCAAGGCGACGAUGCGUAGCCGACCUGAGAGGGUGAACGGCCACACUGGGACUGAGACACGGCCCAGACUCCUACGGGAGGCAGCAGUAGGGAAUCUUCCGCAAUGGGCGAAAGCCUGACGGAGCAACGCCGCGUGAGUGAUGAAGGUUUUCGGAUCGUAAAGCUCUGUUGCCAGGGAAGAACGUCUCAUAGAGUAACUGCUAUGAGAGUGACGGUACUUGAGAAGAAAGCCCCGGCUAACUACGUG